rnacentral:tRNA from 1 species
GCCUGGGUGGCUCAUUUGGUUAAGCGUCUGCCUUCAGCUCAGGUCAUGAUCUCAGAGUUUCGGGAUCGAGCCCCAACUCAGGCU